CAAAUCUCUCUGUAGCUUCAGAUUCGAUUCAAAGGGUCUGAAGCCUGUUGGCUCUCUUUAUAAAUAAGCUGUCGUUUAGACUAUAGGUUGCGCUUAACCACACCCCGCUGUCGAAGCCCAGACCCCUCGGGAUAUUUUUAGCUCUGAUGAUGUCCGCUGUCAUCUAACGGAAAGAUCAUCCCGGAAUCACAGAGCGAACCAGCACGGUGUCUGCGCUCGAGUCGCUUUAUCUAACAUGAGGACUCAAAGCGCUUUUAUUAUAUGGACUGCGAUGGUUCUUCAUUUGUCUAUCAUAAAAGGUCAGACCACAGACACAUCCCCAGACGUGAGGUCCACUCUGAAUGAAGUCACUCCGAAAAAUUGCAUGACUUCAGCAAGUGACAUUUUGGAAUCCCGAGCCACUACAGCCUAUCAAAGCGUCUCCUCUCCUUCAGCGGAUUUCACAACGGAGGUCACACCUACUGUUCCUCCUCCAUCACAGUCAUCCAAAGACGCUGUAGUGCAGUUCUGUAUUUUGAACGCUCUAUAGAAAAUAUUAACAUCUAUUAUUUAUUAUAAUUACAGGUUGUGAUUCAGUGGAGCAGCUGGUCCAAAUAAACAGGAUACUGAUCCAUCUUUCAAUAGAAAGCGUUUUGUGGUUGAACUCGCCGAGAUUAGAGAAGCAGUCGUCAGUAGAAUGAUGUGUUUGUGGGCGGGGUCAAGUUGUUCGCGGCCGGCCAACGUAGAACAUAGGCGUGCAUUAUGCAAAUGUGUUUCCCUGUGACGUGUAGCCGUCACGGAAGUGGGAUUCGAAUUACUAACGACUCGUUCAGGCUGUAGAGAGUCGAUUCUUUAUUUUGGGAGACAAUAACUUUAUUUAUCAUGCACAUUCACAUACAGCUACAUUACACACUGCAUGAAAGGCAAUAUUGGAAAUGGCAUAAUAGGGGCACUUUAAAGUAGAAAGAUUUCAAUGCAAUUUUCUUGUCAAAUGUACUCAAGUAAUCUUUUUUAGCCUUUUUCCCUUUAAUAUGUCAAUGAUUUUAUUUAAAAGUUAGAAUUUUUUUUUACAGUGUGCUCUAGUCAGAGCUGUGGCUUUCUGGUUGGUGUCCA
rnacentral:lncRNA from 1 species